rnacentral:misc_RNA from 1 species
UAACCAUCGCGUCGUGGAUUGAACCAUUUGACUGCAAAGUCGAAUCAGUAUGUCUGCGAAGCGGAUUUGGAGGCCUGCCGUGCAAACGGCUCCUCUCGAAAUGCAUUAGCUGUCUUUAGACUUGCGCCGCUGGUGUGAUAAUUUACUUUCUCGCCUAUGGCAAAAGACUUGACGGUGGCUUAUAACCGCCCGCAAGGGCAACAAACUUAAG